GAUGAAGAACGCAGCGAAAUGCGAUAAGUAAUGCGAAUUGCAGAACUCAGUAAAUCAUCGAAUCUUUGAACGCACAUUGCGCCCGCCAGUAUUCUGGCGGGCAUGCCUGUCUGAGCGUCGUUUCGACCCUCGCGCCCGGCUUCUGUCGGGGGCGGUGUUGGGGAUCGGCCACACCCUUCAGUGGGAGGCCGGCCCCUAAAUUCAGUGGCGACCACGCUGUAGCCUCCCCUGCGUAGUACUAAAACCACCUCGCAGGCGGAGAGCGGUGCGGCCCGCCGUAAAACCCCCCAACUUUUACAAGGUCGACCUCAGAUCAGGUAGGAAUACCCGCUGAACUUAAGCAUAUCAAUAAGCGGAGGA
rnacentral:misc_RNA from 1 species